ensembl:lncRNA
AGAGAACAAAUCGUAACAAGCCAUGCAUGUAUGUUAUUUUAAAAAAAACAGGUUUUAUCCUGUAAUUAAUGGAAACUUACUGAACAUUCGUAAGUAAGAGAAAGAUACAAUCAGAUCUACUAAAGUUUUUUUCUAAGACUCCUUUUUUUCUCCCAAAUAACCUGAUUUCUUCAAGAGAGAGACUUCAGUGCUUGGUAACCUUUUAUAGACUCUGGCUGAUGAUACUCUCCAGUCAAAAAGAGUCCCAUGAUAUGGUCCUAAUAUGUCUUCUUCACCUGUGUAUUCCAGCACCCAGAACAAUUCUGAUACUCAGAAAGUACCUAGAAAUUGCUUGCUGACACUCUAAGUCAUCUGUAAAGCAGAAGGAUGCCACAAAGGACCACGAUAAAACCAGACUGAAACAGCUAGAUCCAAGAUGGUGGAUAAAAUGGUGAUUGCAGCCGUGAAAUUAAAAGAUGCUUACUCCUUGGAAGGAAAGUUAUGGC